GGCCGCGGGAAUUCGAUUAGAGUUUGAUUCUGGCUCAGGCCUUAAAAUGGCGGCGUGCUUAACACAUGCAAGUCGAACGACCCUAUUUAGCGGAAGUUUUCGGAUGGAAGCCAAAUUGACUGAGUGGCGGACGGGUGAGUAACGCGUGGGUAACCUGCCUCAUACAGGGGGAUAACAGUUAGAAAUGACUGCUAAUACCGCAUAAGCGCACGAGGAUGCAUGUUCUUGUGUGAAAAACUCCGGUGGUAUGAGAUGGACCCGCGUCUGAUUAGCUAGUUGGAGGGGUAACGGCCCACCAAGGCGACGAUCAGUAGCCGACCUGAGAGGGUGACCGGCCACAUUGGGACUGAGACACGGCCCAAACUCCUACGGGAGGCAGCAGUGGGGAAUAUUGCACAAUGGGGGAAACCCUGAUGCAGCAACGCCGCGUGAGUGAAGAAGUAUUUCGGUAUGUAAAGCUCUAUCAGCAGGGAAGAAGAUGACGGUACCUGAGUAAGAAGCCCCGGCUAACUACGUGCCAGCAGCCGCGGUAAUACGUAGGGGGCAAGCGUUAUCCGGAUUUACUGGGUGUAAAGGGAGCGUAGACGGCUGCGCAAGUCUGAAGUGAAAGCCCGGGGCUCAACCCCGGGACUGCUUUGGAAACUGUGUAACUAGAGUGCUGGAGAGGCAAGCGGAAUUCCUAGUGUAGCGGUGAAAUGCGUAGAUAUUAGGAAGAACCCCAGUGGCGAAGGCGGCUUGCUGGACCAUAAAUGACGUUGAGGCUCGAAAGCGUGGGGAGCAACAGGAUUAGAUACCUUGGUAACCCACGCCGUAAACGAUGAAUGCUAAGGGUCGGGGAAUAAAGCUUCCUCGGGCCGGCCG
rnacentral:rRNA from 1 species